UACGGAGGAUCCGAGCGUUAUCCGGAUUUAUUGGGUUUAAAGGGUGCGCAGGCGGGAGAUUAAGUCGGCGGUGAAAUUUUGCAGCUCAACUGUAAAAGUGCCUUCGAAACUGGUUUCCUUGAGUGUGGAUGAAGUAGGCGGAAUUUGUGGUGUAGCGGUGAAAUGCAUAGAUAUCGCGAGGAACUCCGAUUGCGCAGGCAGCUUACUAAACCAUAACUGACGCUCAGGCACGAAGGCGUGGGGAUCAAACAGGAUUAGAUACCCCGGGUAGU
rnacentral:rRNA from 1 species